rnacentral:lncRNA from 1 species
UGUCUGGGGCUUUAUGAAGUCAUCAGUCAAAAGUAUAAAAAGAAGAGUGAUGCCAGAAGUUUGGAUGAGAUCUCUGAAUAUCCUAAGCCAAGUGCAGGCCAUAGGAGAAAGCAGUGAAAAAGAAACACUGUGACAAGCAAGGAAGAAACUUCAGACCAAGUUGACAGGCAGCCCUUCAGUUUACUGACUGCCGCUUCUUACCUGCCAACGCCAAGCACAAAGCUGCCUGCAGAGCCAGCCUCUAUCUGUGGUCCUUGUGCCAAUUAUCACUGCCCCACUCAUGCCGCAGGAUAUAAAGCAGAGUGACAGGGUCACAGGACUGCCAGAGGAAUACAGGUCUUCCACCCCAAGUCCUCUUAUCCACUGAACAAUUGUGGACAUGUCAUCCCUGAUGUCACUUCCAGAGGUGGUCUCACAAAUCCAUUUCAAAAAGUCAUCCCAGAAGACAUUUUAUAUGAUUUUUUUUAAGAGGCUACUAAAGUUGAGAGGUGAAGCCAGCUGGACUUCUGGGCCAGGCUGCAGUGCAGUGGUGCCAUCUGGGCUCACUGCAACCUCUGCCUCCCAGGUUCAAGUGAUCCUCAUGCCUCAGCCUCCUGAGUAACUGGGAUUACAGCUUCUAGAGGCUACCCACAUUCCUGGGCUAAUGGCCCCUUCCUACAUCUUCAAAGCCAGCAGUGGUGGGCUGAGUCUUUCUCCUGGUAUCAUCUCUUCAUUCUCUAUCUCCCUCUCCCAAUUUUAAGGACCUCUGUGAUUAUAUUGGGCACCUGGAUAUUGCAGGAUACGCUCUCUAUUUUAAGGCUAUGCUCCGUAAAGAGAGUGCCUCCUCUAGAAUCACAAGACCUAAGCAUGAAUCUUCCUUUGAAGGAUAAAAUGGAAGGAAAAAAACUGGAUGAGGAAAAGAAGAGUGGGGAAUAGAAAGAGAGAGAGAGAGAAAGAUGGAUAAAUUUUUAAAGUUACUAUAAUAAAAAUCUUCUACAACGAAA